UACGUAGGGCGCGAGCGUUGUCCGGAAUUAUUGGGCGUAAAGGGCUCGUAGGCGGUUUGUCACGUCGGGAGUGAAAACUCGGGGCUUAACCCCGAGCCUGCUUCCGAUACGGGCAGACUAGAGGUAUGCAGGGGAGAACGGAAUUCCUGGUGUAGCGGUGAAAUGCGCAGAUAUCAGGAGGAACACCGGUGGCGAAGGCGGUUCUCUGGGCAUUACCUGACGCUGAGGAGCGAAAGUGUGGGGAGCGAACAGG
rnacentral:rRNA from 1 species